UACGUAGGUGGCGAGCGUUGUCCGGAUUUACUGGGCGUAAAGGGAGCGUAGGCGGACUUUUAAGUGAGAUGUGAAAUACCCGGGCUCAACUUGGGUGCUGCAUUUCAAACUGGAAGUCUAGAGUGCAGGAGAGGAGAAUGGAAUUCCUAGUGUAGCGGUGAAAUGCGUAGAUAUUAGGAGGAACACCAGUUGCGAAGGCGGCUCUCUGGACUGUAACUGACGCUGAGGCACGAAAGCGUGGGGAGCAAACAGGAUUAGAUACCCCGGUAGU
rnacentral:rRNA from 1 species